rnacentral:rRNA from 1 species
UACGUAGGGUGCGAGCGUUAAUCGGAAUUACUGGGCGUAAAGCGUGCGCAGGCGGUUUUGUAAGCCAGAUGUGAAAUCCCCGGGCUUAACCUGGGAAUGGCAUUUGGGACUGCAAGGCUGGAGUGUGGCAGAGGAGACUGGAAUUCCUGGUGUAGCAGUGAAAUGCGUAGAUAUCGAGAGGAACACCUGCGGCGAAGGCGGGGUUGCUGGGCUGAUACUGACGCUGGAGGC